AAAAACUGAUAGUAGUGUUCUAUUAAACUUUAUAAUAGAUAUAAAAGAGUAAGAUUGCAAUGUAUACAUGUUCGCAAGUGUAAACUUGAUAAAACUGUUCUAUUAAGCUCUAAGAGUGUUCUAUUCUACUAUGACAAAAGAGUGUUGACAACCAUAAAGCUAGCUAUUCUACUAUGACAAAAGAGUAUUGAUAAUCAUAAAGCUAGCUAUUAAGAGUGUUCUAUUAAUCUUUACAACUGUUCUAUUAUGGCAUAAAACUGUUCUAAACCAAAAAAAUGAUAGCAGUUUUCUAUUAAGCUUUAUAAUAGACAUAAAAGAGUAAGAUUGCAAUGUAUACAUGUUCGCAAGUGUAAAUUUGAUAAAACUGUUCUAUUAAACUCUAAGAGUGUUCUAUUCUACUAUGAGAAAGGAGUGUUGACACCAUAAAGCUAGCUAUUAAGAGUGUUCUAUUAAUCUUUACAACUGUUCUAUUAUGGCAUAAAAGUGUUUUAUUCUACUAUAACAAAAGAGUGUUGACAACCAUAAAGCUAAUAGAGUGUUCUUUUAACCUUUACAACUGUUCUAUUAUGACAUAAAAGUGUUCUAUUAUACUAUGACAAAAAAUUGUUCACAACCAUAAAUCUAUUAAGAAUGUUCUAUUCACCUUUACAACUGUUCUACUAAGCCUUAAGAGUGUUCUUGUGACGCCCCAACUUUCCAGGGGGUCACCCAUCCUAGGACUACUCCCGUCCUAGCACGCUUAACUCUCUUAACCUCUAGGGUCUAGCCACCACCCAAAAUGCUUAAGCCGGGUUAAAAGUUUAGCCCUAUUAUAUCUCAUAUAUAGGACUAUCUGGGGUCUCACAAUCUCCCCUCCUUUAAGCCCUGACGUCCUCGUCAGGCUCAGACUCACAAGUACCAGGCGAUGUGAAACUCGUCUCGCUAGCCCGUCAUCCAAACCCUGGCUCAACCAAGAC
rnacentral:lncRNA from 1 species